UCUGCCCCGGCUUGUCAGAAGGGGCAGUUUACAAGUUGAAAAAAAAUGUGACGACAGGAAGUUCAUCCGCAUGUCGAAAACGGCAGCAGUGAAGAGAGGUGGGGUAAAAUCACAGCGAUCGGCAUGGCAGGCGAUACGGAGGCGCGCCUGGAGGAUCCGCCGUGCGGUCAGUGUGUGAACCGGCAGCCUUUUCUCAUCGGGGUGGCCGGAGGCACAGCCAGCGGCAAGUCAUCAGUCUGCGGCAAGAUUAUGGAGCUGCUGGGCCAGAACAAGAUUGACCACGAUCAGAGACAGGUGGCCAUCCUCAGUCAGGACAGCUUCUACAGGGUGCUGACCCCAGAGCAGAAGGCCAGGGCACUGAAGGGUCAGUUCAACUUUGACCAUCCAGACGCAUUUGACAAUGAGCUUAUCAAGGAGACCCUACAGGAAAUCCUGCAAGGGAAUGAAGUGCAGAUCCCAGUGUAUGACUUUGUCACCCAUUCCAGGAAGGACGAGUGUGUGACGAUUUACCCGGCGGAUGUGGUGCUCUUCGAGGGGAUCCUGACCUUCUACUCCAAGGACAUUCGGGACUUAUUUCAGAUGAAGCUCUUUGUGGACACGGAUGCUGACACUCGUCUCUCCCGUAGAGUGUUGCGGGACAUCAGUGAGAGGGGUCGGGACCUGGAGCAGGUGUUAACGCAGUACAUCACCUUCGUCAAGCCCGCCUUUGAAGAGUUUUGCCUCCCGACAAAGAAGUUUGCAGAUAUUAUCAUCCCACGUGGAGCACAUAACCUUGGCAGGGUUUGGCUGGUGUUUUACGUGACCGUGCUCAGGUCCCCCGACAUGGCUGCGGUGUGUGAGGGGAAAAGCUCUGACUGACCUUAUUUAGUCAGAGGGCCAUGGCAGUUGGGGAGGCAUUGUGAGGCUGGGCGAUGGCGACUGGUGAUUGUGAAAUGGAGGAGCUCAUGUAUGCUGAAGCAGUAACGUCACCUCAGUCCAGAAAUACCUCGUGGCCAUCAACCUAAUUGUGCAGCACAUCCAGGACAUCUUAAACGCUGACUGAGGAAGAAGCGCAGUGGCUACAGCUCAUCCAAGAAGCCCGAGAUCUCAGAGUCCGACAGUCGGCUGCAUUGAACCCGGCGCUUGCCUCUUUCCGUCUGCUUUGUGUUAUAAGACGAUAUCGAUCAGGAGACGUGCAAUCUCUGCCUGGCUUUUCUUGCUGUUUUUUUUUUAAUUUUAUUUUGUAUAUUUGCUUGCCUAUAUGAUUCGUGCACUGGAGCAGUCAGAAUUCAAGGCCGGACAUUUAGUGUUUCACCUGCUGGUGUUUGCUGACGUGAGAAAAGUCAGGAGAAUGUCCUGGAUGGGUUUGGUGACCUUUCAUGUGGACCCAGUUUCUUAUUCCCUUUAGCCAAUAAUUGGUCAUUUUUACUGUGGCAUGAAGCAGGAAUAAACAUGAUUGGAAUGCAAUAAAUCUGAUAUCACAAUUGCCAGUUUGCUGGAAAGAAAUUGGAAGGAUGUUUUCGUUGUUGCUGGUGGUAAUGAUGUUGUCCAUGAUCCAGUCCGACUGGUGCCAAUACGGCUUCAAUCUCCUAGAUUUACCAAAUACUUUACUUUUACUCUUCCAUGUCGUUCUUGAAAUUCAGCAGCGUCUGAGAAACACGGAUUGCGUGCAACAGUAUGAAGCAAAUCCCUCCCUUUUAUUCCACAUGCUUGUUCAUGUGGUGCUAGAAAAGGGAAUUAGGGCCAUGGAAUGAAGAAAGACACCUUUUCAUGAGUGGUUGUGUUACUCUAAAUGGUAUUCGGAAAUGUGAUGUCACCAAACCUUUGCCGCUUAAACUCACUUCUGGAACGAUGUGACAUUUUAGGAGUGGCAGCAGAUAAAAAUGACUCCUUUCACUGAGUGCCUAGGAAGCCUUAUAUCAUGUGUGCCUGCGCUCAUGUACACAUCUGCAAGUGGCUUGGUUUUCUUAUUUUUGUAUCAGCUUGUACUAUUUGGUAUUGGGACAUGAUAUCCAUGAUAUUUGGAGAAAUUUGCCAAAGUUGUAUAUAUUAGUGAAAAUUCAAAGACAAUCUGUGGUCAGCAUUUUUCAUCAUUUAAUUGUAUUUUAUAUUUUUUGUUUUUCAGCUUAAAAAUCUGUAUUGUAUGUACUUAUUGAGCAAUAAUUUAUAAUUAUUUUUACAUUUUACUUUAAGCAUGAUGUUGCUUGUUUCAAGAAAUGGCAUACUUCGUUUCUGAACCAGGAGUGGACUUGUGAUAUAAUAAACCUUACUUGUCCAACCCA